rnacentral:lncRNA from 1 species
CGGCGGGGCGGGGCGCACGGCGGCGAGCGCUAUCUGGAGCUGACCGUGCGGCUCUUAAUCCCUGGCCUUGGGAAAGUGAAUUGGCCUGAAUAGCAAGGAGGAGAACUUGGGUGUGGAAAUACCGGUUCCUCACAAGGCCAUCUGGACUAAAGAAGAGGGUUUGUAGUUUCCCUUCAAGCUAAGUGAAUUUGUGUACUGGACAACAGGAUGUCAGAAGACAUAAUCUCUGCCACUUGAGUGGGCAUUGGAGAUUGAAGCUGAGAUCAAUGGCAGACAGGGCAGCAUGGCUUGCACAUGAUUUAUCUGUUCGGCAUAGCAGAAGUGAUUGAAACAGG